CACCAAAAUAAAACAAUUCCCAGGACAGUUUUUUCCCAAUUUUUCCUCAGGAUUUAUUCCCUGAGGAUGGAAUAACCUGAGGAAUUUACAGCAGGAGUUUCCAUGGUAUCAAAAAGCAAAAUUCCAGGGGAAAAUGGGGAAGCAGGGAUUGGUUUUGGGGAAUUAAUUAGGAAUUUUGGGGAAUUAUUAGGAAUUUUCAUGCUGGGAAUUGCAGCAGGACAAAGGGACCCUGGGGUGGUGCCACCUCAUACCCAGAAAUUUUGGGAUGGUGCCACCUCAAAUCCUGAGAUUUUGGGAUGGUGCCACCUCGGAUCCUGAGGUUCCAGGGUGGUGCCACCUCAGAAUGUGACACCCCAGGGUGGUGCCACCUUGGAUCCACAGAUUUUGGGAUGGUGCCACCUCAGAUCCAGAGGUUCCAGGGCAAUGUCACUUUGGAUCCAGAGGUCCCAGGGUGGCUCCAAUGGCACCCAGAGGUCCCAGGGUGGUUCCAAUGGCACCCAGAGGUCCCAGGGUGGCUCCAAUGGCACCCAGAGGUCCCAGGGUGGCUCCAAUGGCACCCAGAGGCCCCAGGGUGGCUCCCCUGGCACCCCGAGGUGCCAGCAGACACCCCCCGAUGACAAACCCACCUUGGAGGCGCCGAGCACGAAGGUGUGCGCCACGUUGGCGAUGAACCCGUCCACGUGCACGCCCAGGUCGCUGCAAACAGAGGGGGGAAAUGGGAAUUCCAGCAAUUCCAGACAUUCCAGGAAUUCCAGAAAUUCCAGAAAUCCCAGCAAUUCCAUCAAUUCCAGGAAUUCCAGCAAUUCCAGACAUUCCAGCAAUUCCAGCCAUUCCAGGAAUUCCAGCAAUUCCAGAAAUCCCAGAAAUUCCAGCCAUUCCAGCAAUUCCAGACAUUCCAGCAAUUCUAGGAAUUCCAGACAUUCCAGAAAUCCCAGGAAUUCCAGCAAUUCCAGCCAUCCCAGGAAUUCCAGCAAUCCCAGGAAUCCCAGGAAUUCCAGGAAUUCCAGGAAUUCCAUCAAUUCCAACCAUUCCAGACAUUCCAGCAAUUCCAGACAUUCCAGCAAUUCCAGAAAUUCCAGCCAUUCCAGCAAUUCUAGGAAUUCCAGACAUUCCAGCAAUUCCAGGAAUUCCAGAAAUUCCAUCAAUUCCAACCAUUCCAGCAAUUCCAGACAUUCCAGCAAUUCCAAAAAUCCCAGCAAUUCCAGCAAUUCCAGAAAUCCCAGCAAUUCCAGCCAUUCCAGGAAUUCCAGAAAUUCCAGGAAUUCCAGCCAGACCCCAGCACACCCAGUGCUGCCCCAGGAGCCCCUCCAGGCUCAUUAUUAGGCUGUAAUUAACAACCAAUUAACGCUGCAUUAAAAACGCGGGGUGGGGUGACAGGUUCUUGCAAUCUGGAUAAUUUUGGGGUUUAAUUGGGGGGAAUUUGGGAUUUUCCUGGCACUCACAUUUUGACCAAAUCCCCGUCCUUGAGGAUGUAAUCCUGGUCGCUCUUGAGCGGGGAGAAGUGACACACACAGUUAUUGACGGAUAUACUGGUGG
rnacentral:lncRNA from 1 species